rnacentral:rRNA from 1 species
AUUGAACGCUGGCGGCAGGCCUAACACAUGCAAGUCGAGCGAGCGGCGGACGGGUGAGCAAUGUCUGGGAAACUCCCUGAUGGAGGGGGAUAACGUCUGGAAACGGUAGCUAAUACCGCAUACCAUCAGAGCUGCCCCGAUGGGAUUAUCUAGUGGGUGGGGGAACGGCUCACCGAGGCGACGAGCCCUAGCAGGUCCGAGAGGAUGACCAGCCAGACGGGAACUGAGAAACGGUCCAGACUCCAACGGAAGGCAACAGGGGAGAAUAUUGCGCAAUGGGCGCAAGGCUGAUGCAGCCAUGCCGCAUGUGUGAAGAAGACCUUCGGGUUGUAAAGCACUUUCAGCGGGGAGGCGUUCCCCGCAGAAGAAGCACCGGCUAACUCCGUGCAAGCAGCCGCGGUAAUAC